rnacentral:ncRNA from 1 species
ACAACGGCUCUUCUAAGAGCCACCACACGUAUAAAAGAAAUAACGAU